rnacentral:lncRNA from 1 species
UUCACAUUAAGGUUCCCUUGUCUUUAAGGAUUAUGAAUAUCGGAGAUGCAGACUUCUAGGCCAUGCAAGUAAUUUUCCCAGUUAAUUGGGAUACAUACUUUCCACAUUCUUGUGGUAAUAUCAUAAUUCUUCUCUUAUUUCUUCUUAAUUUCAAAGGGAAUUGCAGUGGAGUUGUGGUACUGACCUUGGGGGCUGUGUAUGUAAUAUUCCAAGAGGAUGGGAUGACAGAAAUUCCUGGUAGAGGUCAGAAUGGCCGUGCAGAGAUGGAAAGUUUAAAACAAGCACCUCAAACUCUUCAGCUUUAGAAACUGAGAAAUUUCCAAUGAAGAUAAUUAGUUUUUAAUCAAUAUUGAAGAAUAAGGACUCUGCAGAUAGCUUAAAUUUUAACAAUGCAAUUUAAGGUUUUUUAGCUAAGUAUGUCAGACCUGUCUGUUAUACUACACUGUAUUAUGCUUCACUGUGCCUUCUCUUUUGACAUUGAAAUUACUGCUGAAGUGUUAGGAAUUCUCUUGAGUCUGAAAUUUGGCUUUCUACGUAACUUUAAAUGGAUCUGUAUCUCUUCCCAUACUGGUUUGAUUUCUUAAUUUUUAAUGCAAUUACUUUUGAUUUGUACCACUAAAUGAGAAGGUGUUUUUGAACAAAAAACCUGAGCCACAUGGGUUUUCUUAAUUGCCUGAAUGAGUUGUUCACGUAUGCCUACUUUGUAUGUUAUGAGUUAUUCUAUUUAAUACCCAGAUUUCCAUUCUAGAGAAGUAGUGCAUAUUCACAGGGCUAAAACCAGCUGAAGUGAUUUAUCAGUGUACUGCUGUGCAGCGUUUCAUGAAUUUUCUCUCUGCUAAUACUCUAUGCCAUUCAUGGACAUCUUUAAAGGCUGUUAUAUUUGUACCUUCAUUUCCUUUAUUUCUGAACUGGCAUGAGUAACUACCUCUGCACUCUUAAUGUUAUGGAUAGUUCAGUUUCACUUGGGUGCUUAAACUACACUUUAGAAUUUAGUGUUGGAACAGAUGCAAGAGAUUCUGCCAGAGAGAGGGUAGAGUGGCUAGAAGAAACCUCACAACAGUUUUCCAUUUCAGGCUCCAAUAUGUUCAUAUUAAUCCAGCUUUUCUUGGAAAUGAGAGAUUACAAAGAAGAGACAUUUUAAGAGGAAAAUUGUUAAAUUUGUGUAUGUUUCAAUGAACAUUUUACAAAUAUCUGAAAUUGCUCUGUUUGGAAUAUAAGUAAACCAAUGUUCUUUAAGGACAUUCUGUAUAUUCAUAACUAUUUUAUCCAUGUUAACAAAAACCAGACUUAUCAAAAUAAUAUUUU